rnacentral:rRNA from 1 species
GUGGGCUGGCCGCGUUGUCUUCGGGGUUACCUCCCACCCUUUGUUUAUUAUACCUUUGUUGCUUUGGCGGGCCCGUCCUCGGACCACCGGCUUCGGCUGGUCAGCGCCCGCCAGAGGACCUAAAACUCUGUUUGUUCAUAUUGUCUGAGUACUAUAUAAUAGUUAAAACUUUCAACAACGGAUCUCUUGGUUCUGGCAUCGAUGAAGAACGCAGCGAAAUGCGAUAAGUAAUGUGAAUUGCAGAAUUCAGUGAAUCAUCGAAUCUUUGAACGCACAUUGCGCCCCCUGGUAUUCCGGGGGGCAUGCCUGUUCGAGCGUCAUUACAACCCUCAAGCUCUGCUUGGUAUUGGGCUCUGCCGGUCCCGGCAGGCCUUAAAAUCAGUGGCGGUGCCAUUCGGCUUCAAGCGUAGUAAUUCUUCUCGCUUUGGAGGCCCGGGUGCGUGCUUGCCAGCAACCCCCAAUUUUUUCAGGUUGACCUCGGAUCAGGUAGGGAUACCCGCUGAACUUAAGCAUAUCAAUAAGCGGAGGAA